AUUGAACGCUGGCGGCAUGCCUUACACAUGCAAGUCGAACGGUAACGCGGGGCAACCUGGCGACGAGUGGCGAACGGGUGAGUAAUGCAUCGGAACGUGCCCAGUAGUGGGGGAUAGCCCGGCGAAAGCCGGAUUAAUACCGCAUACGACCUACGGGUGAAAGCGGGGGACCGUAAGGCCUCGCGCUAUUGGAGCGGCCGAUGUCAGAUUAGGUAGUUGGUGGGGUANAGGCCUACCAAGCCUACGAUCUGUAGCUGGUCUGAGAGGACGACCAGCCACACUGGGACUGAGACACGGCCCAGACUCCUACGGGAGGCAGCAGUGGGGAAUUUUGGACAAUGGGCGCAAGCCUGAUCCAGCAAUGCCGCGUGAGUGAUGAAGGCCUUAGGGUUGUAAAGCUCUUUUACCAGGGAUGAUAAUGACAGUACCUGGAGAAUAAGCUCCGGCUAACUCCGUG
rnacentral:rRNA from 1 species